rnacentral:lncRNA from 1 species
CAAGGAGCUGCAAGAGCUCCAGUUAAUGAAACAGACACCAACGGCGCCAUUUUACAUGCAGUUUCCGACGGCUACCCUCACCGUGUGCCCUUCCUGCAGUGAAAGAAUUGUCAACGGUUCAAGCGCUGUUGCUGGUGAUGAUCAUCACCUUGGAGUAUCCAAGCCUCAUCACCUUCUCAACCCCUUUACUCAUCCAUCUACAGCUUGCUAGUUACUAGAGGCAACCUAUACAUCGAUGAUCGAUCAUAUAUUUCAAAUUAAUUGUAGAGAUAUGAAUUGCUACUGUGCGUAUAUUGAAAUUAUUAGUCUCUUUUGUCUUU